rnacentral:rRNA from 1 species
CCUACGGGUGGCAGCAGUAGGGAAUAUUGCUCAAUGGGGGAAACCCUGAAGCAGCAACGCCGCGUGGAGGAGGAAGGGGGGAGGAGUGUAAAGGAAGGGUGUUAGAGAAGAUAAUGACGGUAUCUAACGAAUAAGCAACGGCUAACUCCGUGCCAGCAGCCGCGGUAAUACGGAGGGUGCAAGCGUUACUCGGAAUCACUGGGCGUAAAGAGCGCGUAGGCGGGAUAGCAAGUCAGAUGUGAAAUCCUAUGGCUUAACCAUAGAACUGCAUUUGAAACUGUUAAUCUAGAGUAUGGGAGAGGGAGGUGGAAUUCUUGGUGUAGGGGUAAAAUCCGUAGAGAUCAAGAGGAAUACUCAUUGCGAAGGCGACCUGCUAGAACAUAACUGACGCUGAUGCGCGAAAGCGUGGGGAGCAAACAGGAUUAGAUACCCGGGUAGUC